UUUUCCUUGGUGAACUUCUAUUCAUCCUUCAAAGCCCAGCAGUAAUCAUCCUUUAGAAAGUCUUCUUUCAGAGGGAACCAAAAAGAAUGGGGAGAAUUGUGCCUGCCCAGCCUCCUCCUUGGGGACUCCAGGGGCCCAAAGAACCAAGAGCUGCAAAUGUCCUGGUGGCCUUGGAAGUUUAUGGAUGGUACAGAUCUGGGGUGGAGGGCAUGGCCAGGACAGGGAGGGCUGUCAGAGAGAGGGUCUGUGGGUUUGUGGAGUGUGGGGAUCAGUCGCUGACUCAUUAGAUGAACCAGGAGCCUGCAUGCUACAGCCCACCUGCCAAAUCUUGCCCCCACCUGCUUUUUAAAAUAAAGUUUUAUUGGAACAUGG
rnacentral:lncRNA from 10 species